CAUGUAUUUAACCUAUGAUACUGAUAAAAAAAAUGUCAAGCAAUAGGAUAUUGUAGUAUAUGAGGAAGCCAUUUGGUGUAAAACUAAUUUGGCCUGAACUUUUUUCCAAAAGGGCCAGAUGUGG